rnacentral:rRNA from 1 species
CGCGUGGGUAACCUGCCUCACACAGGGGGAUAACAGUUGGAAACGACCGCUAAUACCGCAUAAGCCAACAGGGGCGCAUGCUCUGGUUGGAAAAGAUUAAUCGGUGUGAGAUGGACCCGCGUCUGAUUAGCCAGUUGGCAGGGUAACGGCCUACCAAAGCGACGAUCAGUAGCCGGCCUGAGAGGGUGAACGGCCACAUUGGGACUGAGACACGGCCCAAACUCCUACGGGAGGCAGCAGUGGGAAAUAUUGCACAAUGGGGGAAACCCUGAUGCAGCGACCCCGCGUGAGUGAAGAAGUAUUUCGGUAUGUAAAGCUCUAUCAGCAGGGAAGAAAAUGACGGUACCUGACUAAGAAGCCCCGGCUAACUACGUGCCAGCAGCCGCGGUAAUACGUAGGGGGCAAGCGUUAUCCGGAUUUACUGGGUGUAAAGGGAGCGUACACGGUGAUGCAAGUCAGAAGUGAAAGCCCGGGGCUCAACUCCGGGACUGCUUUUGAAACUGUGUAACUGGAGUGCAGGAGAGGUAAGCGGAAUUCCUAGUGUAGCGGUGAAAUGCGUAUAUAUUAGGAGGAACACCAGUGGCGAAGGCGGCUUACUGGACUGUAACUGAC